UACAGAGGGUGCGAGCGUUGUCCGGAAUCACUGGGCGUAAAGAGCUCGUAGGCGGUUUGUCGCGUCUGCUGUGAAAACCUAAGGCUCAACCUUGGGCUUGCAGUGGGUACGGGCAGACUAGAGUGCGGUAGGGGGUGACUGGAAUUCCUGGUGUAGCGGUGGAAUGCGCAGAUAUCAGGAGGAACACCGAUGGCGAAGGCAGGUCACUGGCCGCAACUGACG
rnacentral:rRNA from 1 species